rnacentral:rRNA from 1 species
CAGUAGCCACGGUAAUUCGUAAGUGGCAAGCGUUGUCCGGAAUUAUUGGGCGUAAAGGGCUCGCAGGCGGUUUCUUAAGGCUGAUGUGAAAGCCCCCGGCUCAACCGGGGAGGGUCAUUGGAAACUGGGAAACUUGAGUGCAGAAGAGGAGAGUGGAAUUCCACGUGUAGCGGUGAAAUGCGUAGAGAUGUGGAGGAACACCAGUGGCGAAGGCGACUCUCUGGUCUGUAACUGACGCUGAGGAGCGAAAGCGUGGGGAGCGAACAGGAUUAGAUACCCCUGUAGUCCCUGUCUCUUAUAC